rnacentral:other from 1 species
UUUCCCCUGCUUUGCACGUGCAUGGGAUAAUGAUAUUUGAGCCAAUAAAUUUGAUAAGGGAACCUAACUUCACGGUAUCCGAGGAUAUUGUGAGAGGGUACCCACCUGUAAAAAACGGGACCUAAAUAUUGUUAUUUCACACGGCAAAAGCAGGGGUUUA